rnacentral:rRNA from 1 species
AACGAACGCUGGCGGCAUGCCUAACACAUGCAAGUCGCGCGAUAUCCAGGAGCUUGCUCCUGGUGAAAGCGGCGCACGGGUGAGUAACGCGUGGAUAACGUACCUUAAGGUUGGGAAUAACUUGCCGAAAGGCGGGCUAAUACCGAAUAUGUUCAUUUGAAGUUCGCUUUGAAUGAGUAAAGCGGGGCAACUCGCGCCAUAAGAUCGGUACGCGUCCUAUCAGCUAGUUGGUGGGGUAAUGGCCCACCAAGGCGAAGACGGGUAACUGGUCUGAGAGGACGACCAGUCACACUGGGACUGAGACACGGCCCAGACUCCUAAGGGAGGCAGCAGUGGGGAAUAUUGGUCAAUGGGCGAAAGCCUGAACCAGCAAUGCCGCGUGGGAGAUGAAGGCCUUCGGGUUGUAAAGCUCUGUUGUUAGGGAAGAACAAGUACCGGAGUAACUGCCGGUACCUUGACGGUACCUAACCAGAAAGCCACGGCUAACUACGUGCCAGCCGCCGCGGUAACAC